UACGUAGGGGGCAAGCGUUGUUCGGAAUUACUGGGCGUAAAGGGCGCGCAGGCGGCUGCUCAAGUCAGGCGUGAAAGGCCUGGGCUCAACCCGGGAAUUGCGCUUGAGACUGGGCUGGCUUGAGUGCGGGAGAGGAUGGUGGAAUUCCCAGUGUAGAGGUGAAAUUCGUAGAUAGUUGGGAAAGAACACCGGUGGCGAAGGCGGCCAUCUGGACCGCAACUGACGCUGAGGCGCGAAAGCCAGGGGAGCAAAGCGG
rnacentral:rRNA from 1 species